ACAUAGGUAAAAGAAGUCGGCAAAUUCGAUCAGUCACUUCGGGAGAAGGGUUGGCUCUGGCGGACGAGUCAAACUGGCCGAGAUCAGAUACGUGUCGGUAAAAUUGGAGAGCUGGUUUCUCCGCUGCUUUGUGUGCUUUAGUGCGCAUUGUUGUGGAGUUACUAUACUCUGACCGUGAACGAUCGUGGGCAGUUUCAGCUGUUGGUGUUGUAUGACUAGCAACGCGCGUGGACUUGCUCUGCGUUGUAUCAAACGGCUGUGCUUCCAUUGUUUGGCGGGCGACGGCUAACUCAUAACUGGUACAGACCAGUGGAAUCCGACUUUUUAAUCAGAACAAAGCACUGUGACAUCCACUGACUGGUUAUGAAGCAAUGCGAUUUAUGCCCAGUGCUCUGAAUAUCAAAGUGAAGAAUUUCAAAUAAGCACGGGAAUACGGAUAUGGAUUUUUCCCCAUAGGUUGAUUCCUGAUAUGGUACAGUUUGUGUGAAAUAAAAUUGUAAAGUAUGACGACAGCGAAGGCAGUUUCCGGUUUUGCUGGAAUAGUGGUAUUGACCAUAUAGCCAUGACUGAUUUCAUUAAUACUGGUGGGAUUAGAGACUGUCGUUCGUCAUAAAUAUCAGCAGCCGUUGAAUAAAAAAGCUAUGGAAUAGGUUCUUGUGAACAGUACACAGCACUGUAGGUCACUGGUAGGCUCGAGGAGGUAGGAAGUGCUUCUCUCCAGCUUAAAGUGCUGUGUUAGAUUGGAUGGAGAGUGAAGAAAUAAAUCCGGCCUCUGUCAGGGUCAAUGCGUUUCAAGUGAUUAAUUUACUUGCGGAUAGCAAGUCACCCAAAAGAGAAACACGGACCAGUAUCUGAGCUUUACGCUCAAAAUGUAUGUUCAGACAUCUGUUAAAUAGCAUAACGGCUACACUGCUAAAGCCGUUUGAAAUAGAUAUAGCACACGAGCAAACCAGCUAACCCGCCAGCCAGCUAGCCAACAUAAUCACUUCAUUCGAUAUUGUGCAAAUCGAAAGAUCCAACAGAAAAUGAAGAUAAAUUGUGUGAACUGUGAUAAACAUUACAUCGGUCAAAGUGGGUAGUUGUGAAAGUCAGUUCUGAAAAGACACGAUGUAUAUUCUUUCAUAUUUAUUAAUUUUUAUUUUUAUUGUAGCUUGACUCCACACAGUAUUUUUGAUACAAGUAUGAAAUUUUCAGCAUGUGAUAUCAGUAGCC
rnacentral:ncRNA from 1 species